AAUAGUAAUUUUUGUAUUAAGUGCGCGAAAUGAGUGUUUUUUUAAUGGCGCCUGAGAAUGUUAUUUUAGUCGAGACCGCCAGGUCGAGACCUAAAAGACAUUCGAAGGCGCCAUUAAAACAUGAAUUUCGCCACGAAAUACAAACAACGUUUUUUCUACAGCCUCCAGAUGAAGAAAAAAGUAACAGAAAUUAGUUGGAACAAAAUGGUCUGAUAAAUCGAGUUGCUUGCAUGGUUACGAUGAUAAAUAAAAGUGAUAGUUGCGAAAAAUUUGUCACAAUAGGUAUUUUUGUUGAAGAAGUGUGAUGGAUUUUAGCAGCGAAAACGAAAUAGAUGCAAUUGCAAGCGCGGCAGUGUCGAAUCUUUUGCCUGCUAAAUCAAGACCGCAGUACGAAAAAACGUAUCUUCAGUUUCGGCAGUGGUGUUCUAUGAAAAAGAUUGAUCAAGUAACGGAAAAUGUUUUGUUGGCGUAUUUGGAAGAAAAGUCUACCACCUUAAAGCCACCAACACUCUGGGCCCUUUAUGCGAUGUUGAAAGCCACCUUAAACGUUAAAGAGAAUAUCGAUACACAAGCAAGAAGUCGCAAAUUUUAGACAAAGAAGACAUUAGCAAGUUUAUUAAUGAAGCAGAUGACAAGAUAUAUUUACUGAUGAAGGUAAACUUAUCAUAUUAGUGUAAUACAAAUCAAAACAACUCGUUUUAUUUAUAGACUGUGCUAAUUUUGGGUAUAUCGGGAGCCCUUCGACGUGAAGAAUUAGUUAAAAUGAAGCUAACUGACAUAGAAGAUAAACAGUCUGUCUUAAUUGUGAAGGUGCCUGAUACAAAAACCCACUGCGAACGAAUAUUUACUGUUUCAAAUUUAGAAAAUAUAGAAAUUGUCAGAAAAUAUAGAGCUUUGCGGCCUCCACGGGCGACUAGUGACCGUUUAUUUUUAAAGUAUACCAACGGAAAAUGUGUGAAUCAAAAUGUUGGAAUUAACAAAAUCGGAGAGAUACCAAGUUUGAUUGCAAAGUGGCUUAACAAAGACGAACCUAAAAAAUAUACUGGUCACUGCUUCAGAAGAAGCUCUGCCACUCUUUUGGCGAAUGCUGGAGGUGAUCUAAUUUCAAUUAAACGUCAUGGGGGCUGGAGAAGCAGCACAGUGGCAGAAAGUUACAUCGAGGACUCUUUGAAUAAUAAAAUUGAAAUUGCCAAUAAAAUUCAACCUUCUUCCUCCACAGAAGAAAACAAAAUCACUCAACCUUCUACAUCGGCUUCUUUUAAUGGCGAAAAUAACUUUCAUUUACAAGCGUCUUCACUCAGGCCUCUGGGGAUAAACGGGGGCACGUUUUCGUCAUGCACAUUUAAUUUUCAUAUGUCAAAGUAAAUAUCUAUUAUUAUUGUUUUGUAAUAUUGUUCUGUAUAAUUAUAAAACCUUUAAAACUA